UUCAGUUUCAUAAUUUACCCCCAUGCUCUCUUCCAAAUUAUGACAAAUAAAUUGAUUAACAUUGUAGUUUCAUCACCUCCGGAUACAUUCGCGAAACGCAUUUGUUUUCUUAUGAUCAUGAUGAUAAUUUCUAAUGUUAUCACGGAUUUCAAUCCACUCGGUUUGUUAGUUUUCUCAUGUUAUCAGAUAUCAUUUCAUCCAUGUUUCAUUGGCAAAUUUCCAAUUAUUUUGUCAUCAUAUAGUUAAGCUGAAUGAUUUGCUUGCCAGAAUACUGCUUUCUACGAACACCCAGUACUAGUUUCCUGUUAAGACUCAGGAAAAUGAAAUGACGAAGCAUAAUAUUCCUUUAGGCAUCAUUCAAAAUGAACGGCCCCACUCAUGACUUCAAAGAGCUUUACCGGUACCGGAAUAUUAGACAGAAUAUAACCCGAAAUCAUUGUAUCGUGGUUAGAUCAACGUUACCGUGAAAUAUUUGUAAUUUGUGUAAGAAGCGUUGUCCUUUCAAGAAGAAUUAAAAUGGUGUUUGACCUGAAAUGUCGAAGAUUCUACAAAUAGUUUGUGAAUAAACAGUAUGACCGUGCAAUAUUUUCAACCAUAAAUUGAAAUUAGACAUUUCUCAUAUACAUAUGAAAUUUAGAUUCAAGUUACCGGAAACAUAGACAAUAUUAUAAACUGGAAGAUGACUAGAAUGAAUAAUCCAUGCAAACAAAACACGUAUACCUAUCUAGUUUUGUAUCUUUUGAAGUGAUUUACAGAGAAAAAUGGAACCGACAACUUAUCUAGGUGCUUCAAGUCACCAUGUACACUGUGAAAAUUACAUAUUAAAAGAAGGUGAACCAAUCAAAUUGUUUGGAGAUAGUGAAAUCUACCCAGGGGCGGAGUGGUUGGAUAUGAAAAAUUGUUCAGGUGUUAUCGACUCAUCCACUUUCUCUCUACUACCCAAUAUGGAUUAUAUAAAUAUGGAUGGUUGCAAUAUUGAAGACUGUUUCCCUAAAGCAUUUUCACCACUUGAAAAACUGAAAGCACUGGACAUUAGUAACAGCAAAUUUCCAAUCAAAACUGAGAUUUCCGAGGAC
rnacentral:misc_RNA from 1 species